AGCAGCAGCCGCGGGAAUACGAAGGGGGCUAGCGUUGUUCGGAUUUACUGGGCGUAAAGCGCACGUAGGCGGAUCGAUCAGUCAGGGGUGAAAUCCCAGAGCUCAACUCUGGAACUGCCUUUGAUACUGUCGAUCUGGAGUAUGGAAGAGGUGAGUGGAAUUCCGAGUGUAGAGGUGAAAUUCGUAGAUAUUCGGAGGAACGCCAGUGGCGAAGGCGGCUCACUGGUCCAUUACUGACGCUGAGGUGCGAAAGCGUGGGGAGCAAACAGGAUUAGAUACCCCCGUAGUCCCUGUCUCUUAUAC
rnacentral:rRNA from 1 species